UAAGGAAUAUUGCUCAAUGGGAGAAAUCCUGAAGCAGCAACGCCGCGUGGAGGAUGAAGGGUCUAUGACUUGUAAACUCCUGUAAAGAAGGAAAAAAUUCCCAUUAGAUGGGAGAUGAUGGUACUUCUGGAGUAAGCCCCGGCUAACUACGUGCCAGCAGCCGCGGUAAUACGUAGGGGGCAAGCGUUGUCCGGAUUUACUGGGUGUAAAGGGUGCUCAGGCGGAUUUGUAAGUCAGAGGUGAAAUCUUACAGCUUAACUGUGAAACUGCCUUUGAUACUGCAAGCCUAGAGUAUGGAAGAGAGUGAUGGAAUAUCUGGUGUAGCAGUGAAAUGCGUAGAUAUCAGAUAGAACACAAAUGGCGAAGGCAGUCACUUGGUCCAUUACUGACGCUAAAGCACGAAAGCGUGGGUAGCAAAC
rnacentral:rRNA from 1 species